rnacentral:rRNA from 1 species
CGCCUGUUUAUCAAAAACAUCGCCUCUUGUUAAUAAUAGGAGGUCCAGCCUGCCCAGUGACAAAGUUUAACGGCCGCGGUACCCUAACCGAGCGAAGGUAGCAUAAUCACUUGUUCUUUAAAUAAGGACUUGUAUCAAUGGCACCACGAGGGUCGUACUGUCUCCUUUCUCCAAUCAGUGAAACUGAUCUUCCCGUGAAAAAGCGGGAAUACACAUAUAAGACGAGAAGACCCCAUGGAGCUUUAAACCUCCAGCAACUUAACUAUAAAUUCCUUCACACCCCUAAAGAAAUGCUUGUUGGUUUUAGGUUGGGGUGACCACGGAGUAAAAACUAACCUCCGCAACGCAUAACCUAAAUUUUUAUUUAAGAGCCACAACUCUAAAAAAUAGUAUACUAACGUACACUGAUCCGAUAAUCGAUUAAUGAACCAAGUUACCCUGGGGAUAACAGCGCAAUCUAUUUUAAGAGUUCAUAUCGACAAAUAGGCUUACGACCUCGAUGUUGGAUCAGGGUAUCCCAGUGGUGCAGCCGCUACUGAUGGUUCGUUUGUUCAACGAUUAAAACCCUACGUGAUCUGAG